rnacentral:rRNA from 1 species
CUACGGGGUGCAGCAGUGGGGAAUAUUGCACAAUGGGGGGAACCCUGAUGCAGCAACGCCGCGUGGAGGAUGACGCAUUUCGGUGUGUAACUCCUUUUAUAUGUCAAGAAAAUGACGGUAGCAUAUGAAUAAGCACCGGCUAACUCCGUGCCAGCAGCCGCGGUAAUACGGAGGGUGCAAGCGUUACUCGGAAUCACUGGGCGUAAAGGACGCGUAGGCGGGUUGGAAAGUCAGGUGUGAAAUCCUACAGCUUAACUGUAGAACUGCACUUGAAACUUCUAAUCUAGAGUAUGGGAGGGGGAGAUGGAAUUAGUGGUGUAGGGGUAAAAUCCGUAGAUAUCACUAGGAAUACCUAAAGCGAAGGCGAUCUCCUGGAACAUUACUGACGCUAAGGCGUGAAAGCGUGGGGAGCAAACAGGAUUAGAUACCCUAGUAGUC